rnacentral:rRNA from 1 species
AUUGAACGCUGGCGGCAUGCCUUACACAUGCAAGUCGAACGGUAACAGGUUAAGCUGACGAGUGGCGAACGGGUGAGUAAUGUAUCGGAACGUGCCCAGUCGUGGGGGAUAACUACUCGAAAGAGUGGCUAAUACCGCAUACGACCUGAGGGUGAAAGCGGGGGAACGUAAGGCCUCGCGCGAUUGGAGCGGCCGAUAUCAGAUUAGCUAGUUGGUGGGGUAAAAGCCCACCAAGGCGACGAUCUGUAGCUGGUCUGAGAGGACGACCAGCCACACUGGGACUGAGACACGGCCCAGACUCCUACGGGAGGCAGCAGUGGGGAAUUUUGGACAAUGGACGCAAGUCUGAUCCAGCCAUGCCGCGUGCGGGAAGAAGGCCUUCGGGUUGUAAACCGCUUUUGUCAGGGAAGAAACGAGUUUCUCUAAUACAGAGACUUAAUGACGGUACCUGAAGAAUAAGCACCGACUAACUCUGUGCCAGCCGCCGCCGUAACAC